rnacentral:rRNA from 1 species
CGUACGGAACGGAGCUAAUACCGGAUAAUAUUUUGAACCGCAUGGUUCAAAAGUGAAAGACGGUCUUGCUGUCACUUAUAGAUGGAUCCGCGCUGCAUUAGCUAGUUGGUAAGGUAACGGCUUACCAAGGCAACGAUGCAUAGCCGACCUGAGAGGGUGAUCGGCCACACUGGAACUGAGACACGGUCCAG